UUGCUCCCGAUGCUGCGCCAUCAGUGUGUAAAUGUGUGUAAAUGUUUAUCUGAUGAGCAGGUGGCACCUUGUAUGGCAGCCUCGGCCACAGUGUUUCAGGGUGUGUGAAUGGUGAAUGGUUUCUGUACUCUGUAAAAGCUCUGUGAGUAGUCAUUAAGACUAGAAAAGUGCUAUAUAAAUACAGUCCAUUUAAUGUGCAAAACCAGGAGAACAGAAAGUUUCAUGUCUUUAAAGGGACAUAAUAUGCUUUUCUGUAUUUUCUGUCAUAUCUACAGUGUUAUGAGAUUUCAUGUUAAACAAGGCCAAAAUUUCAAAUAAUGACGUAAACAUAUUUUAGAGAAAUACCUGUGAGCUAAAAUGUUCAGAUUUCCAAGUGUUCUGAACGCUCUGGUUUCGACAUUUUUUUCUACUCUCGGCUAAGUGUUACGC